rnacentral:lncRNA from 1 species
UAAAAAGUGUGUUAGCUCAAAAAAUUUCAAAGCUCUAGCUACAUUUGUGACUAGGCCACCCGGCUCUGGGGCCCAGCACUCAAUACAGAAUGAAGUUCUGAAAGGAAAACUACUGAAUGAAUCUUUUGGACGAACAAAGGCACGGCCGAAAAGAUACACGCAAUAUUUAAUAGGAUUUAGAUAUGGUUGGGGGACACGUCCCCCAACCUUUCAAAGAUAAUACUCACAUCGUGAAAACAGUCCCAGGCUUCUCGACCUGAGUCAAACAACAACUGCCUCCUCAGCGGCUCAGGGCACGCCGCGCCAUCUCCGAUUGGUCGAUCCAUCAUCAUUCCGCAACUGCAACCAAUCAGAGAUGCCCCGUCCAGAACCACGGGUUUUACUAACGGGCGCUAUGUUGCCAAAACGCAUUAACCUGUUUAUGUCUGAUAAUGGUGACUUCGAAGUGUACCGUGAGAGUGUACCGAUUGACCGAAGUGUACUUCCGCCGUUUACCGUGUAGACCGCGCUGCUAUCGAGUAUACUGUACCGGCAAGCCGCCGCCGCCAUAUUGGUUUGAUUGCUUCCUGUACGUGAAUCGUGUUCGUGUGAAUCGUAUUUAUGUUUUCUCCUUUUCUCUGGUGUGAAUUGUGAAUUGUGAUUGAGAUUGCCGACGCGGUAGUGAAUUGUAAAGUUUUCUGCAUAUAUGCUUAAGACAUUUUAUUGCCAUAAUGGUAUUGAAACGUGUGCUGAUAAUCGGAGCAUCUCAGACGAAGUACUUCGAUGGUUACUUGCAGCCGUCGCUAACUUUGGAGGUAACUGUGAAUGCUGUCUCAGGAAGGAAGGUGCAAGAUGUGAACAUCCAAGGUAUGCUGGCAGUUAAGGGUGUAGAUCAUGUUAUUCUUCAUCUCGGAACGAAUAACAUCCCAUUGGAAGGUCCUGCUGCAACCCAACGGAGGAUGGAGUCCUUAUUAAAGGAAAUUCGUAGCUUGAAUCCUCAUUGCACCAUGUACGUCUCUAGCAUUCUACCGAGAGCAUCUAGCUUCUUCCCUGGCACUAGGAGAUCACCUGAAGAAAUCGAGCACUUGAAUGAUCGUUCUGCAACCUUAAAUUGUCUGUACAAGUCUCUUGUUUCUCGGUUUCCAAAUUGUUACUUCAUUGACAACAGUGCCACUUUAUGGAGGAAGGAGUAGUAAAGAGAUGGUUACUGUCACGGGAUGGACUACACUUGACGCCUAAUGGUGCUGCACGGCAAAUUCUUACAUUAUGAUGUUUAGAUUUUGUGAUUGGUGUACUUCGAUUAUGGUGCAAGCUUCUGUUAUCGUUCCUGUUAAACAAUUUUUGUGCUACUUAUUUUGUGUUACUGUGAUAAAACUAGUCCUAAAGAAUUUUGUGUUCCCUAUUUUUUUUAUAAAACCUCAUUUUGACUAAUUGAUUGUGCUCCUGUAUCGGAAUUAGUAUAGAAAAAAAGAAAAUGAUAAAGUCUUUUAUAUACCAUCAAAUAAAGUGUCUUCUUGUCUUUAUUUUC